rnacentral:rRNA from 1 species
GCAUAUCAAUAAGCGGAGGAAAAGAAACUAACAAGGAUUCCCCUAGUAACUGCGAGUGAAGCGGGAAAAGCUCAAAUUUAAAAUCUGGUGGCCUUUGGUCAUCCGAGUUGUAAUUUAGAGAAGCGUCUUCCGCGCUGGACCGUGCACAAGUCUCCUGGAAUGGAGCGUCAUAGAGGGUGAGAAUCCCGUCUUUGGCACGGACCCCAGGGCUUCUGUGAUGCGCUCUCGAAGAGUCGAGUUGUUUGGGAAUGCAGCUCAAAAUGGGUGGUGAACUCCAUCUAAAGCUAAAUAUUGGCGAGAGACCGAUAGCGAACAAGUACCGUGAGGGAAAGAUGAAAAGCACUUUGGAAAGAGAGUGAAACAGUACGUGAAAUUGUUGAAAGGGAAACGCUUGAAGUCAGUCGCGUCGCCCGAGACUCAGCCUUGCCUCGGCUUGGUGUACUUCUCGGCUGACGGGUCAGCAUCAAUUUCACCCCUUGGAUAAUGACGAGGGAAAUGUGACACCUUCACGGGUGUGUUAUAGUCCCACGUCGCAUGCMAGGGUCGGGAUUGAGGAACUCAGCACGCGCUUCGGCGUCGGGGCUUUGCCCACGAUACGUGCUUAGGAUGUUGG